UUGCAUGACAGAGUUGCUGAAACGUAAAUCCAGCAAGCAAUGCAAGUUUAAUUCCUAAUGCUGCUGGAUUCCUAACGCUGUGGAGGCAGAGCCUCUUCCUGCUGGGAGCGGCAGUGGUGCCAGGAGGUAUAAAAGCAUAAGUAUCUGCGCAGACAGUUUCGGGGUCUAUUCAGCAUUCAGGCUCAGAGGGACAGAACUGACACCGACCCCAGAGACUACAAAUGUCAUGUGGAAAAUGCUUCAGAAAUAUCUGGCAGUGUAAGAAGCCUGAACAUCUCCCUGCAAGCCCCUGGGAUAGCAGCAACCAAGGGAAAGUUAAGCAGAACCCAAAAAGUCAUCACUCUGGAAUGCUUUAGUCUUCGAAGCCCCAUGCAAGUAAAUCUGCUGUAUUUGGAGAAGAUGCAUGGAAAUUUGACAGACCAGAGAGUAGAGAAAUGUACCCUGCAGAGCCUGAAAGUCAUCACCAGUGCAGACAGGAAAUCUGCUAUUGGCCACACCUGUGUUUUACUGACACGCCCCAGGAAAAAGUUUCAGAGAAAAUUUAUUCUUAGAGAAAAAGGUAAAAACUUCAAUGUAGCAAAUAUAUGUUUAGGUAUGUCAGAGGAUGGCAGUCUUCAAUUUCAUAUAGCUGAUACCUUAGCAGUUAUUAAAAAAAAAACUAUUUGUACCUUUUUGUUGGGG